GGUUUGGUAUCUGCUUUUCACAACCCCCAGCAAUAAGGUGGUGUUUUACGGCUGUUCGUUUUACUUCCAUUCCAAUUUUUUAGGUUUGAUUCCGUUCAGUUGGAAUUAGGUGUAAUUCGCGUACGGCUGAAACUAAAUAUAUUGCGGUGGACAAAUAAAGAAGGUUUCGGAAAAAUUACCCAUAUGGUUGUGCAUGUGUGAAUAAGUAUACACGCAUGUACAUGCGUAGAAAAUUUCUCAAGUAAAUUUUUAAUAGAAAUUUUUAAAGGAAAAGAGACUUUGUCCUGUCGAAACUGCCAAGGUUCUGUCGUCAAGUUAUCAUUUAGAAAAUUUCUAUUUUGUUGUCUAUUUAGAUAAGAUAUAUUUUCCUCAAAUUGUGUAGCAUAUUGCUUUUAAAAAGAUGUAAGAUAACAAGCGAUCAGAACAACAGUGAAUAGUUAAAAAAUGCCUUAAAACGGCAUACCUGAAAAAAGGAUGCCCUUUAAACGGAAAUUCGAUAUAUGUAUUUUCAAAGUGCUAGCAAACCUGACACCAUGUUUUUGGUUUUUAUAUAAACUCUUUGAUGCACAAUAAAGUUGUCCUUCAUAUUUGUAAGGAAUGGACUCUCUAAAUGAAAUAAUAAACCGCCAAAUAUAUGACGAGCGAAUGAUUAACAAUGCCAAUGAGUAUAUCACAGUUGGAAAUAAUUCAGAAUCGCAAUCUCAGUGUCAGUCUAAACUGCUUAUACAUCCUGAAGAAAAUUCCAACUUUAAAGACUCACAUGCCAUGUCCACGCAAAAUUUUAUUGCAACGAAUAUUUCAAGUGGCAAUAGAAAAUGUGGCUCAGAGUGCGCCUCUAGGCGGGAUUCUGUUGAUAUGGUCAUUGUCGAUUUGGGCCAACAAAAUGAACAGGCAGCUUAUCAGACUGAUUCGCGAUACAAUUCAGAACGGUUGGUAUUGCCUUUGGGAUUACUACCAGGAGGUCAUGAGCAGGAGUGCAAUGCUCCCAUAGUUAGCAGCCCAAUAGAUUUUGCCGCAUCAGAUAUAAGCUUAGAUUCGCUGACUGUGGAAACUAUAUCACACGCUGUACUUCCUCAAAUGAAGCAGGAGUCCAAGCCUGAUAUAGUUAACUCCAGAAGGCAUGAACGGGCAAAUAGGUUCAAUCGAAUUGAAGUAGAUUCACCUAGCGGUCAUAUGAGACUUGGGGUUGAAGUUAAUGAAAUGGAGGACUUAUCUUCUGACGAAGGAGGAAGCGAUGACGAAGAGGUUACCCUUAAUCAACACCACCAACAACUUCUAGAACAACACCCACAUGGUCCGCAAAGACUCCACUCGCAGCAUCAACCUCAUAUCGAAACACACCAUGGGCAGCUACACAGAUCAACUGAGCUGGAUUUGGCGCUAAAUGGCGACCACGACGAGACUCUAUCAGUUAUAGUUCAGACACAAGAAAGUGAAAAAGAUUUACAUGAAGAAAGCCAUAGAGAAGUUGUUGACGACGCGGAUGCGGAUGAGGAAGAUGAAGAUGAUGAUGAUCGAGAUGCGGGGGAACGUGCACACUUACUCAGCCCUGUCUUAGACCAUAGCUCGUAUCAAACACUUACCUCGGUCAAUGAUCGUUUAUCUCCACCUGAGUUUAGUCCAACUUCAUAUGCCACGUUAACUCCAAUCCAACCCCUACCUCCUAUAUCAACAAUGUCUGAAAAAUUCGCAUAUUCUGGUCAUAUUUCUGGAAGAGAAGAAGACGGCAAUAAUAGGAGAGGUGGAGGAGUACCUAAUGGUACGGAAAGUAGCCAUUUAUCUGGUGAUAAUGCAUGCGUUAGUGGCAAUGGUAAUACCUCUAGGUGUGCCAAUAAUGACUGCAGUUCUGUCCCUGUUCUUUCCAUUCCUUUAGGCAAUAAUCAACUUGGUCUGAGUGUAUUAAAUCAAGCUCAAUCGUCAUUUUCUUCUUAUGAAAAGUUAUCCUCUAUGGUUUCUCCAUCGCACCAUACUUAUGCCACUUCACCUUCGAGUGGCCUCCCUGAGAUGGUUGUUUCCUGUGACUUGCAGGCUCACAAUGCCUCGGGACUUCCACUAAAUGUUAAUGGCCAAAAGAAGAAUUCAACGCAACAUUUGCAGGGACACUGCCAUGAACAUGAGCAGGUUCUUGGGCAUGGUCAUGUAAAUAGGCAUAAACUAAAUCACGAACAAUGCCAUGGACUUCAAUUACUGCCAGUAACAUUACCAAAACCAGUCGUUUGCCUGUCACCAACUAGAGUUAUUGGCGAAAAUGUUUUAGUAAGUCAUUAUGAAACGCCUUUCAGCGGAAACCACCAUGACCACGAGCUUGUGUUGGGAACGACCUCCUCCACUAGCUCUACAGUUGGAUUACAACAUAGCCCUACACUGAGUCCGCACUCUCUCUCAGGUGGCUCCGUAUUGUCGAUGCCAUUGCAUUCACCUACAUCGGCUGUGAAUCUUCCCCACAUUAAUAAUUCUAUGUCAAGUUUAUCGGUAGUUGUAUCCUUAACACCAACUCCACCACCUCCUGUAGAAAUACAAAAAAUCAGCCGUCGAUCAUCGUCUUCUCAGAAGCCACAAUACUUUUUAUCAAAGGGUCAAGAAGUCAAUGCAUCAGCAGAUCAGUCUAGUCCACAUGGCAUUACAUCUUCAAACUUGAGUAGUGCCACCCAUCAACCCAAUUCAACUCGCUUACAUGAAUUUCAAGGAGCUCAACCACAAAUAAAAGCGAAUGCCUCUAGUUCUCCCAAGCAUGUAUCUACAGCUUGCGGAGGGUCUAGCCGAUCUGCCGUUUCCAGUGACGUGGAAGAGAUCAAUACGAAAGAACUGGCACAGCGUAUUUCUGCUGAGCUUAAGAGAUAUAGUAUACCACAAGCUAUUUUUGCGCAACGUGUGUUAUGUCGCUCACAAGGUACCCUCUCAGAUCUACUUCGUAAUCCAAAGCCAUGGUCUAAGCUAAAAUCUGGCCGAGAAACAUUCCGAAGAAUGUACAAAUGGCUACAGGAACCGGAAUUUCAGCGCAUGUCUGCUCUUCGAAUGGCUGCCGCUCAAAUUCCUCAAAGAGCGCAGUUGGUAGCUGGAACGUCUUUAGGUUGUAUCUCUGGAUCAUCAGCAGUAUCCCCUGGCUCCACAGCUACUAUGGCCGUUAUGGAUUCCAAUAUUGCCUCUACAAUUUCUCCAAACGAUCUUCUAGAUGGAACUUCUGCAUCAAGUGCCCCCGGCUGUAAUGUCCCCAUCAGCAGCGUGAAUUGUCGGCGAAAGGAAGAGCCGCAAAUCGAGCAAAUAACACAGCCAAAAAAGCCACGCUUAGUCUUUACAGAUCUGCAGCGACGAACUUUACAAGCCAUUUUUAAAGAGACGAAAAGACCGUCGAAAGAAAUGCAAGUCACUAUAGCUCGGCAACUAGGAUUAGAGCCAACUACCGUGGGCAAUUUUUUUAUGAAUGCUCGUAGAAGAUCAAUGGAUAAAUGGCGUGAUGAUGAUAUAAAAAAUCAAACUCAUUUAAUUCAAAACCAUCAACCAGAAAGGGAUGGGCAGGAUGAAGACAGAAUUCACAGCCUUAGUCAAACACAAUGCUUGACCUCUAGCAAUAAUCACUCCAUAAGCAAUAGCUUAACUCGUGAUAGCUAUACACAUCUUCACCCAACAGCAUUGUCGCCACUUGAAACCUUUAAUGAGGAGGCUGACAUGGAGCUGGAAUUGGAAAGCCACGAUUUUGAUUUAGAAGAGAACCAUGGGGACAGCACUGACCAUCGAAGUGAAAUGUUGUGACAGCAUAAAUCCGGUACACGUCUAUUAACCAUUAAAAGAGAAAAUUUACAACCAUCGAUUGACCGAAGCUAUAUCCGCGCUAAUAGUAUCAUAUGUACACAAUCAAGUACGCACACUAAACUCAUUAGGAACUUAAUAAGGGUGAAACGAAGAGCAACGGAAUCAGACAACCAGCUAAUUGUAAAGAUGCCAGUUAUUGAUAAAGCUUUAAAGAAAGAUGACAAAUUUACAGCUUUCUUGACUGGAAACGGCCAAUAUUCUAAUGACAAUAUUCUAUGGCCAGUCAACUAUCGCCAUGACGUUAAUGAAGAAGACACCCAUAUCUGUUUUAAUGAGAUGAUGAAACCUAUUUAUAUAGACGAAUUAAAGGGUCGGAGAUUUUUACUUCAUUGCACUGGAUAAGAAAUUGGAAAUAAUAAAUUAUCAGUAUCGGGUAUCAUAAAGUUAACAAACUUUCUCUGUUUUCUUUAUUAUUCUUUAACUUAAUAAAUAUUGCUACAAUUUGUUCACAAAUAUAUAUAAUCAUUUAACUGUCGUUUCAGGUUAAGAUCUAGAGUUAAAAACAUUUUUUUAUUAAAUUAAUCAUUGAGAUUGGAUUGAUAUACCAUUCGUGUUGUAUGUAUGUAGAUAAAUUCGGUAACAAAGCUUAUGAAUGAAGAAGCUAAUGUAAAUGGAUUUAGAAAAUGUAUAAAAAAUCUAGUCAAAUUUAUUAUCAUAAAUAAUCACAUUUUCAAGAAAAGCGGAAGCAAAUAUCUGAAGCUUAAAUGUUUAAGCUUUAAACAAGCUAAAAUAUUCAUAGUUAAAAAUAAUAAUACUAAAAAAAUGUAUGUAAAAUAAAAUGAAUUAAAUAUUCAAUUCAGCUAAUUUAUUAUCACCAAAGAUUAUAUAUAUAUAUUUAAAUACUCAAUUGGUUUAUAUAUUCUAUGCUUUUAUGCUAUUUAUGAAAAAUACGUCUGUAAAUGUAAGCUAGUCAAUUUAAAAUAAAUUAAAUUUUUCAACAUAAGUAAAAUAUAGGGAAAGAUGGCCAAAUAUUAAAAACAUUCUUUCCGCAAGUGUGUAAACAAAAAUGGCAAUAUUAAAUUAAAGGAAAAGGUAACUAUGUAUGUAAGUAGCAAUGUAUCUAUCGAUCGCCUUAUAUGUACUUAAAAACUCAAUAAAAUUUAGUAUGUA